UGUGGACAGUGAGGUAGAGGGAGU
rnacentral:miRNA from 1 species